UUAUAGAACAAUCAGUUCAAAGACCCAAGAAAUUUCUGAAUAUUCAAUCUUCUAUCUAAAAACAUAAAAUAAUAUAGCAGAAAAUCUCAUCUGAUUAAGUAUUGCUCUUGGCUAUUAGGAUGAUCAUGCCUCCCUCCCUUCCUCACUUCCUGGGCAUGCUUGCAUGGAAACAUGGUUGUCCUGCCAGAAGGUAUCUUUUAGGUAUAUGGGUUCCCCUCAAGUGAAGAGGCAAAAAUAGAAAAGGAUUGAGGGGAGGCUCAGGGAUCCCCAGGUGAAGAGGUAGAAAAGGAACAUGAUUGAGGGGAG
rnacentral:lncRNA from 1 species